GCCAUACUGCAGUGGCAGUCUUUAUAUAAGUUCACACGGUCCGAUGAAAGUUUCUAAUAUUCUUCACAAAAUCAGAUGAUACCUAUGAUUUUAUACAACAGGCACCAGCAUUAUAAUGAAUAUAUGAAGAUCAUUAAUAAAGAAAGAUUUCUUCUUCAACUACUUAUCAGGAUAGGCUAGAAGAGGCAAAAACCAGUACAAUGACAGUCUUCAUGUAAAUUCACACAGCCCAAUGAGAGCUUCCAAUAUUCUUCACAAAUUAUCAAAUAGUAAUGAUGACUUUAUACAACAAGCACCAGCAUUAUAAUAAAUAUGAAGAUUAUCAAUAAGAAAAGACUUAUUCAUUUAUUAUUCUUCAACUACUUAUCAGAUCACAAUAGAAAGGCUUGAAGAAUCAAGAUACAAUGGCAAUCUUCGUACA